AUUGAACGCUGGCGGCAUGCCUUACACAUGCAAGUCGAACGGUAACGCGGGGCAACCUGGCGACGAGUGGCGAACGGGUGAGUAAUGUAUCGGAACGUGCCCAGUUGUGGGGGAUAACUGCUCGAAAGAGCAGCUAAUACCGCAUACGACCUGAGGGUGAAAGCGGGGGAUCGCAAGACCUCGCGCAAUUGGAGCGGCCGAUAUCAGAUUAGGUAGUUGGUGAGGUAAAGGCUCACCAAGCCGACGAUCUGUAGCUGGUCUGAGAGGAUGAUCCGCCACACUGGGACUGAGACACGGCCCAGACUCCUACGGGAGGCAGCAGUGGGGAAUUUUGGACAAUGGGCGCAAGCCUGAUCCAGCCAUGCCGCGUGAGUGAAGAAGGCCUUCGGGUUGUAAAGCUCUUUCAGGUGGAAAGAAAACGCAUGGGUCAAUACCCUGUGUGGAUGACGGUACCAUCAGAAGAAGCACCGGCUAACUACGUG
rnacentral:rRNA from 1 species